rnacentral:lncRNA from 1 species
GUUUUAUUUCUCUUGCCCAGCUCUUUUUGUCUCUGCUAAUUUCCCUUCCUUCACUCUGUCAGACACCCUCUUGAAUAUUUAGCAGAGCAAAAUUCUUUAGAGGUUUAUGGAUCACACUUGUCAAGUUAGAAAAAGCAGAAAGGAUCACGCAUAUUUCUGAAAUUGCACCAAUAAUGGAGUGUGUGGUACUCCAUCAGAAAAAGUGGUCAUAGUGGAGCUGUGGGCCCACCUUGUUUUCCUUCUUUAUACACAAGAUGGUGUCCCAGAACACCUCUUCACCUCCUGAUCCCCCUGCCCUCAUCAUGCCAUGUCAUAUCACACAAGGACAUUUUCUUGGAAUUUACGACCCUGGAUCAGAGCUGCUAAGGCCAGAUAAGUUUGAGCAGGGAGCUCUCAGAAAAGGUGUAUAUCUGGAUGAACCAAAAAAAUGUGCAAAAAUAUUUUCCAAAACCAAAAGCCAAAUUACAUCAAAUUCCAAAUUGUUUUUAAGUAUCUUGUCUAAUGAAAACAAAGAUUCCAUGUUCUGAUAUGCCCUUUCUUCUCUCAGAGCUUUCACACCCUAGAGAAUGAAGGCAGACUGCAGAACAAGGCAACUUUAAUACAGAAACCACCACUGUACCAGGGAUGCAAGGAUGGGAAGGAGGGAACUCUUCUUUUCACUGUGAAUCCUAGGUUACUGACUCCUCAUGCGUAAGAUUGUUUGGAAUAUAAGCUGGAGGAGGGGAGAGGCAGGCAAAAUUGAAGUGUCUCAGUAAACCACCGUGAUUAGGAAAUCUUUGAGUUAAGACUCACCAUCCUAUUGUUGAGAAGCUAGAAGGACUCUGAGGUGAGGGUAACAUGAGGCUGAAAGCUGAGGGCCACCCUGUCGCCCAGGGUAAAAAGUCAUUCAGAAAGAAAAAAAAAGUUGCAUUUUGUAAUGAACUCACCCCUGAAUGAGGCUGUCACAUGGCUCCCCUGAUUCUGGAUACCCAAGCAAAUACAAAUUGAACCUUCUCCAGAAAAUGUAAAUGAUACUAGAAUAUUUACAUUUAUAGUUUCCUCUGAUAUUCUAUAAUUUAUCUACCAUACUAC